GUCUCUUAGAAAUUAUUAAGAGUCAGGCCUGCCCAGUGAUUGCUUUUUAACGGCCGCGGUACCCUGACCGUGCAAAGGUAGCAUAAUCAUUUGCCUUUUAAUUGGAGGCUGGUAUGAAUGGUUUGACGAGAGUAAAGCUGUCUCACACACAUUAAAUAAAAACUAAUUUAAAGGUGCAAAAGCCUUUAUAAAACAAAAAGACGAGAAGACCCUGUUGAGCUUUAAUUUUAAUGAGCAUCCACUUUAUAUUAAUAUAACUCAUUCGCUCAAUAAAAAUUUUAAUUGGGGCGAUUAAGGAACACAAUAAAGCUUCCUGACUUUAACACUAAAUAUUUAUAAAUUAAAUCGAUCCAGCAAUGCUGAUCAACAAAACGAGUUACCACAGGGAUAACAGCAUAAUUCUUUUUCAGAGCUCAUAUCGAAAAAAGAGAUUGUGACCUCGAUGUUGGACUAGGGUAACAAGAAGGUGGAGCAGCUUUCUUGCUUGGUCUGUUCGACCAAUAAUUCCCU
rnacentral:rRNA from 1 species